GGAGGAGGCGUGAGGUAUACUCCCGAUGACUACCGCAGAAGAAGCACCGCUAACUCCGGCCAGCAGCGCGUAUACGGAGGGUGCAAGCGUUAUCGGAAUUACUGGCGUAAAGCGCACGCAGGCCGUCUGUUAAGUCAGAUGUGAAAUUCCCCGGGCUUAACCUGGGAACUGCAUUUGAAACUGGCAGGCUUGAGUCUCGUAGAGGGGGGUAGAAUUCCAGGUGUAGCGGUGAAAUGCGUAGAGAUCUGGAGGAAUACCGGUGGCGAAGGCGGCCCCCUGGACGAAGACUGACGCUCAGGUGCGAAAGCGUGGGGAGCAAACAGGAUUAGAUACCCUGGUAGUCCACGCCGUAAACGAUGUCGACUUGGAGGUUGUGCCCUUGAGGCGUGGCUUCCGGAGCUAACGCGUUAAGUCGACCGCCUGGGGAGUACGGCCGCAAGGUUAAAACUCAAAUGAAUUGACGGGGGCCCGCACAAGCGGUGGAGCAUGUGGUUUAAUUCGAUGCAACGCGAAGAACCUUACCUGGCCUUGACAUCCAGAGAACUUAGCAGAGAUGCUUUGGUGCCUUCGGGAACUCUGAGACAGGUGCUGCAUGGCUGUCGUCAGCUCGUGUUGUGAAAUGUUGGGUUAAGUCCCGCAACGGGCGCAACCCUUAUCCUUUGUUGCCAGCGGUUCGGCCGGGAACUCAAAGGAGACUGCCGGUGAUAAACCGGAGGAAGGUGGGGAUGGCGUCAAGUCAUCAUGGCCCUUACGGCCAGGGCUACACACGUGCUACAAUGGCGCAUACAAAGAGAAGCGACCUCGCGAGAGCAAGCGGACCUCAUAAAGUGCGUCGUAGUCCGGAUUGGAGUCUGCAACUCGACUCCAUGAAGUCGGAAUCGCUAGUAAUCGUAGAUCAGAAUGCUACGGUGAAUACGUUCCCGGGCCUUGUACACACCGCCC
rnacentral:rRNA from 1 species